UCCGGUGUCGAAGGCCGUGGACGACGUCGUUGCCGAGGCUGCGCGACGGCGGACCUUCCCCCAUCCCGCACCACCACGGAGCCCAGGCGGCGCGGCUCCACAGCGGAGUGGGGGGUGGGGUGGGGGGGGGGGGAGCGUGGAGUCGGGGACGACGCGAGGGAAAGGAGAGGGUGCCGCCGCAGGUUCGGCCGGGGACGGGGACGGGGAAGGAGAGGCCGCCGCCGAGCCAGCCGGGGACGGGGAAGGAGAGGCAUCUUUGAGCGUACAGCUGAACUAAUCGGAAUAUCUGAUGUGAAAUGCAGGAACCUGAAAGCUAUACACAUCACAACAGAAACCAGAUAGUCCCAAGCCCCAAGCUCAAGAUCAAGUGCGGCAGUUGCACACAUUAUUGUUUUCUGCUAAAGUAAACAUUUGCACAACAACCUCUUUUCGCAUGCCUUAUACAAAGCCGAGUAUAUGCUA